ACGCUCGACACCUACGGGAGCAGCAGUAGGGAAUCUUCCACAAUGGACGCAAGUCUGAUGGAGCAACGCCGCGUGAGUGAAGAAGGUUUUCGGAUCGUAAAGCUCUGUUGUUGGUGAAGAAGGAUAGAGGUAGUAACUGGCCUUUAUUUGACGGUAAUCAACCAGAAAGUCACGGCUAACUACGUGCCAGUAGCCGCGGUAAUCUGAGCGGGCUGGCAAGGC
rnacentral:rRNA from 1 species